AGUGCGACCGGGUCGACCGCGCGGGUCAGCACCAUAUAGUCGCGAAGAACGAUCGCCUGACGGUUCUC
rnacentral:sRNA from 1 species